CAAACUGGGUUUAAUACCGUAUACGCCCUUCGGGGGAAAGAAUUUCGGUGAGGGAUCGGCCCGCGUUAGAUUAGUUAGUUGGUGGGGUAAUGGCCUACCAAGACUACGAUCUAUAGCUGGUUUGAGAGGAUGAUCAGCAACACUGGGACUGAGACACGGCCCAGACUCCUACGGGAGGCAGCAGUGGGGAAUCUUAGACAAUGGGGGCAACCCUGAUCUAGCGAUGCCGCGUGAGUGAUGAAGGCCUUAGGGUCGUAAAGCUCUUUCGCCUGUGAUGAUAAUGACAGUAGCAGGUAAAGAAACCCCGGCUAACUCCGUGCCAGCAGCCGCGGUAAUACGGAGGGGGUUAGCGUUGUUCGGAAUUACUGGGCGUAAAGCGCACGUAGGCGGAUUAGUCAGUCAGAGGUGAAAUCCCAGGGCUCAACCCUGGAACUGCCUUUGAUACUGCUAGUCUUGAGUUCGAGAGAGGUAAGUGGAAUUCCGAGUGUAGAGGUGAAAUUCGUAGAUAUUCGGAGGAACACCAGUGGCGAAGGCGGCUUACUGGCUCGAUACUGACGCUGAGGUGCGAAAGUGUGGGGAGCAAACAGGAUUAGAUACCCUGGUAGUCCACACCGUAAACGAUGAAUGCCAGUCGUCCGGGUAGCAUGCUAUUUCGGUGACACACCUAACGGAAUUAAGCAUUCCCGCCUGGGGGAGUACC
rnacentral:rRNA from 1 species